UACGUAGGGGCCUAGCGUUGUCCGGAUUUAUUGGGCGUAAAGAGCUCGUAGGCGGUUUGUCGCGUCUGCUGUGAAAAACCUAAGGCUCAACCUUGGGCUUGCAGUGGGUACGGGCAGACUAGAGUGCGGUAGGGGGUGACUGGAAUUCCUGGUGUAGCGGUGGAAUGCGCAGAUAUCAGGAGGAACACCGAUGGCGAAGGCAGGUCACUGGGCCGCAACUG
rnacentral:rRNA from 1 species